AGAUGGCUACAAAAAUAUUGACAGGCAAAAACCGCUCCUUCAAAGCUCGUAUGUCCCCUGGUGAUAGCCGGAGAACUGCCCAAUCUCUCUCCUCCAUGCAACUGGCGAGCAAACCAACAAAACCACUACACUCACCAAAACCAUCGUUUUCUCUUUUGAAAUCUCUUUCAGGGAAAAAAAAAAAGAAAAAAGAAAUCUCUUUCUUUCUCCUCUAAAACCUCACCUGCAAUGGCUUUCUUCUCAUUUGGGCUAUACCAUCUCCAACCAACCAAUUUAAGAAACAAUCCGUCCGCUUUCCUUCUUCCCUUAAUCUGUCUUCACUUCAUUCUCAGUUUUGUUUGGCUUUAUCUCCACUUAGAUUAGGUUCAAGAUUGCUUGGCAGUGGUCUUCUUGCAAGAGCUGAAGAUAAACAAAAUAGGGUUUGAGGAUCUGAGUAAGGUUACGUGUUAAGUGGGCGUUUUUUUUGGUAAAUUCAAAGAUGUUUUGGCGUGGCGUCGCCGGUGGAGACAAUUUUGGACAAGGACAACUUUACACUCGAGGAGCUGCUUGAUGAGGAUGAAAUUAUUCAAGAAUGCAAAGCUCUAAAUGGACGUCUUAUCAAUUGAAAAAUCCUGAAUCUCGCUCAAAGACCUCAGGCAGGCACAGAGCCCGAAUCUUGUGCAAAAUCUCAAGGAGGUACAAGACCGGCGGAUCUCAAAGAUCUCCCGGAGCAAAAACGGCCAGGAUCCCGUAAGAUCUCCUGGAGCAAAAACGGCCAGGAUCCCGUAAGAUCUCCUGGAGCAAAAACGGCAAAGAUCUCAAAAGAUCUCUCGGAGCAAAAAACGGCUGGCGAAGAUCUCAAAGAUUUCCCGGAGCGACAAAAGCCGGGAUCCCCAAAGAAUUUUCCGACGUCGUAUGCUCACAGCAAACAGCGGUAUACAAUGACAACACACAAAAAUAACUCAUAAGAACAUAGUUCCGACCUCAUAUAAAAGAUUGGGGCACGGGACCCUAAAUGAAAAGCUAAACUCCGACCUCCCAAAGGAGCUCGAGUCAUAAGGUAAAGAGACUUUGAUCUCGCACAAUAGCCAAAAGCGCCAAAAUGCCAUGCUGACCUCAAGAGGGUGCUGGAAUAGAAAUGAAAGAGUUCGAAUCCGACCUCUCAGAAGAGCUCGGAUUCAGGCUAAUAAGACCUAGAUCUCGCAAAAUAGCCAGCAUAUAACGAAAUUAAACUAAGGCGCCCCAACACCUGUAUCAUGUAGCAAUACGACCUACUAACGGCCAAAACAAGGCUCGCAGUGCCAAAACGCCAAAGCACCAUGCCAAUCUCAAGAAAAUGAGCUCGGUACUGGUAAAUCCAAUAGGCAGACCGAAUUAAGGCGAGGCGAAUCCUAAGCAAAAUGCAUACCAAAAUACAGAACCAAACAAAGAAUGAGGGGCAAUCAUAAGAGGCAUCAACCUCGAGAAUCAAUUGCUGGCACUAAACCAGCUCAGCUAGCCUAGAGAGAGGUCUAGGCAGCCAAGAGCCCGUAAAACGCUCGAGGGCAGACAGCCCAUAUAACACUCAGGGGCAGUAGAAAGCCCUGACUCAUUAGAAUACAAAAGAAUCGAACCGCAGUAUGGUCAAGUCCAAAACAAAUAGUCCAACCUCUUCAAUCCAGAGUCGAUCUUCCCAGAAGCUUGGAGGGGCCUCAUAUCUGGACUGGCGAGGCUACAAGUUUAUAAAAGAAAAGUUGAAGCCGAACAAAUAAGCAGUCAGACUGAGACAUAGCCCAUAUAAGGCUCGACAAGAAAACAAGAAAUUAAGUCCGACUUCACAAAAGAGCUCGGGGCACAAAAGUGAAGAAAGUGAAAUUCCGAACUCUCGAGCUCGCGAUACAGGCAGCGUCACAGGCUAUAGGCAUAAAAGCCUAAGCAAAAAAGCAAAGAGUCGAGCUCCCAGCUCGGAUGAACUCGCGACAUGAAAACACUCAAGUAGAACAAAGAUAAGUAUAGAAGAAAUAACAGAGAACCGAGCUCCCUUUAUGAAAAGGCCCACAAAUGCAGAAACACAUAAAAGGAUAAACGAAGGCGAAGGACUGUGCUCACAGCUCGGAUUAACUCAGCAUAAACAAACAUUUAACAAGGAUAACCCAGGAAGAGGAAAACGACAAAAGACCAAGCUCUCUAUCCCAGUGGAGCACACAGCUCAAACCGCACUGACUGCCAGAAGGUUAUCUCAAGAGGAACAAGGUAUUAUGUAUCCGAGCUCGCAAUAAUGACGAGAUCGUGAGUUAAAAACAGAAAUGCCCUCAUGGGAAUAAGAAAAACUCGCAAGUCAGAAGCUUAACCAUACUCCGAGCUCUUAGCCCGGAUCAGUUCGACUAGCAGAGUCUCAGUAGAGCCGGCCUAGUCCAUCAAUUAAGAAAAAUUGACAAAGCCAGAAGAUAGUCUAAGUGAAAAAUAAUGAUGAGGUACAUGUCGAGGUGAAAUAUCAUUCAUCAUCGAAUACACAUCUCCAUAUCACCAUACAUUCAAAACAUCAAAGUAAAGAGACAAAAAAAAAGGCAAGGAAAGAACACUUUCGAC